ACAACAGUUGGAAACGACUGCUAAUACCGCAUAAGCCCACAGCUCGGCAUCGAGCAGAGGGAAAAGGAGCAAUCCGCUUUGAGAUGGCCUCGCGUCCGAUUAGCUAGUUGGUGAGGUAAUGGCCCACCAAGGCGGCGAUCGGUAGCCGGACUGAGAGGUUGAACGGCCACAUUGGGACUGAGACACGGCCCAGACUCCUACGGGAGGCAGCAGUGGGGAAUAUUGCACAAUGGGGGAAACCCUGAUGCAGCGACGCCGCGUGGAGGAAGAAGGUCUUCGGAUUGUAAACUCCUGUUGUUGAGGAAGAUAAUGACGGUACUCAACAAGGAAGUGACGGCUAACUACGUGCCAGCAGCCGCGGUAAAACGUAGGUCACAAGCGUUGUCCGGAAUUACUGGGUGUAAAGGGAGCGCAGGCGGGAAGACAAGUUGGAAGUGAAAUCCAUGGGCUCAACCCAUGAACUGCUUUCAAAACUGUUUUUCUUGAGUAGUGCAGAGGCAGGCGGAAUUCCCGGUGUAGCGGUGGAAUGCGUAGAUAUCGGGAGGAACACCAGUGGCGAAGGCGGCCUACUGGGCACCAACUGACGCUGAGGCUCGAAAGUGUGGGUAGCAAACAGGAUUAGAUACCCUGGUAGUCCACACUGUAAAC
rnacentral:rRNA from 1 species